UCGGUUCCCAGCUGAGGUGUAAAGAAUAGUUAUAUAUGUCUGAGUCUUUGGUUGUAAUUGAACUGGUUGUUUUGCAGAGAAAGUUAUAGUCACUAGUAUUGGUAUAAGAUAUAAACUGAACGUUUUAAAUAGUUUGUUUGGUUCAAAUUGAAAGACUAAUUCAUUCAACUUAAUAUAAGAACGGAGAUUUUGAUGCAAGGCGAUGUCUGUUCACUAAAUGAUUUGUUGGGAAUAAUACAUUGGGAAAAGAGUCGUAAUUAAAAUGCUAAUUCAAAGACGAGACAGUAACUUAAAUCAAAUUAAUUCUGAAUAAUAACGAGGGAACAAUUACGAUAGAUUUGUGUCCAUCGAAAUGUUUUUAUAAGAUUAGCGAAUUGAGAUGUUGAUUGAUGUUGUAAACUCUAAAUCAGGAUUCAACAGAUGUGAUAAAUUAGGUUUGGUUUAUCGAACCCGAAAUACUGUUGUUGCAGACAGCCAACCAUUAUUUACAAUGAGUUGAAAAUCGUUGCGAAAUAAGUCAAGAUUGAGCGCUUGUUGAUGACAUUACUAGCGAGGUUUCCGUCGCCACGGAAAUUAUGUCUUGACUGGGGGUGACAGAGAAAAUGGUUAGUGUCCUUAAAAAGGAGUAUGUAAAUCGUCAGGAAAGAUGCUAAAAACUAGCAGCUGAUUCGCUGGGUGGGUAUCAUUGAUUUGUGGCGUUUAUUUGGACUGUAAUUGGGCCGUGAGAGAGAGGGAUUGGAUGUCUGAGUCAUAAAACAUCGUGAUGGUGGAUUCUGAUGGUUGUUGAUUUUUGGUUUGAUCGUUUGAAUAGCACCAGUGAAUUUGAGCACUGUUUCCAUUAUGUGGAACGGUGUCAGGGUAUUAAUGGUGAAAAGCAACCUCUAUGGUAAAACAUAAUUGUACAUGUUUCGGUAAACUAGCGAGGUUGAAUUUGGUUAUUUGAACAUUUCCCUUGAUACGUAACAGGGGCAAGUUGUUUUUCCUUGAGGAGCACGCAGAUGGUGUUUUGUUUUAUUGAGAUGUAAAUGUGAGUUGAAGGAGCCAAGGGAAAAUACGUUAUUUUUAUUAAAUAUCAGGGAUUAUAAUAUUGGGGAGAAUGAGGCCAUAAACGACCAAAUUGGAAAGGCCUGGAAGUUUUGAUUAAUCAUUAAGGUUUGCAAAUAUAUACACAUAAAACAUUUGUUAGGACUAUUUGUUUUGGUGCAAAGGUAUUUUAAAGAGACACGCUCAAAUAUGGAACUUUAUGAGUUUUUAUUUUAUGAGUUUUAAAUUACACAAGUGAAUUUGGAUUUUAAGGAUAAAGGGUUCUUUAAUAUGUCUAGUGUAGUAUAGAACUUGACUAUAAAAGGGUGGGUUGACUCAUGGACCUUAUCAUGACUGUCUUCUAAGGUCUGAUCAGCCUUAGGGGAGAGUCAUUGGUAUAAUGAAUGUGGUCAUAUUGAGUACUAGUUUUAAGGUAAAUUCAUUAUAAAGGAGUUUAGGUUAUGAGGUUAGGAUAGGAUAUAUAUUAAGCCAAUAGGGCAGGGAAUUACAUAGAAAAAUAAGUUUCAGUUCUUAGGGGUGAUAAAUCACUGUAGACAAGGAAUUCUGCACUCUGCAACAUAUAUUAAAUUCAUGUUAUUGUCAGAUAGAAUACUAAGAGUCCUUGAAGGAAGGAUUUUGAUAUGAUAAGCAUUUGUUUUGAUUUUUUUUUUGACCAUUAAAAAAAAAAAAAAAAUAGUAUUAAAUUUAACAGGUAUAUAGGACAUCUGUGAUGAUUUAGGAUUAUUGUUAGAUGGAUUAAGGAAAUGUAAGGACUUUAGAGAUUGACACUCAUAGACAUGAUUUUGGAUAAAGUCAAACAGUUAGAAGCUUAGUGGUAUUUGAGAAAUAUGAGAGAAAAGGUUUAAAUUGGUAAAUAUAUAUUUAAGAAAAUAUAUAAGUAGUGCAGAUAGUUCUUAAGUAGAUAAGAAACUUGACAGGGAAUUGGUACUGGAUUGACGCCCAAGGGAGAAUUGGACAUGUGGAAAACUAAAAGGGGCUCCUUCAUGAUGUCAGACAUAAAGAUAAUAUACUAAUCUUACCUAAGUCAUUAUUUAGAGUAGGUAAGGUUGAUACCUGGGCAGAGUCAGGUAUCAAAAGGGGGAUGGGUAAAUUGUGGUCUAGGAUAGGAUGGGGCUUAUUGGAUAAGAAAAAAAAAAAAAAAAAUGUAAGCUAACAAUUGGGCAUAGAAGUUAAAGAUAUAAUCAGAUAAAACAUAUGAGAAAUUGUUUGUUAACCAAGCCUGUAUGUCCAGGAUUGUAUGCAUUACAGGUGAACUACAGGUGAAGUCACUCAAUCCAGUCCCAGAGGCUUGGGGACCAUAGAAGACCCCUGGUGACAGCUAGCUGAAAGAGCUACCCAGAUUCAUAUCGCACGGCGGAAGGGUAAGACAUUUUUUCACUGUCGGACAAUAAACAGAGUUCGGGAGAAGAACUGGAAUUAACAGAAUUCCGGGGGCCAACUCUCGAAUGAAGUAACCCUACCUGUCCUAUCACCCCUGUUUUUGUUCAUAGAGGUGAAGAUGUGUCUGGCUCUGGCUAAGUGAUGUGUAUUUUGUUCCAAAAUAAGCAUAAGAGAUCCCUAGAUCUGGGUAGAUAAGAAGUUAGAAUAGAGAUUACACGGUAACCGACUUCGGACAGUUCUGGGAUUGGAGAAGAGGGUAUCCUUAUAGCAUGGAGGAUCCCACAAGGGUGGAUAGGUUUUCCAUGAUAUGGGGAAAUCUGGGAGCAAUGUUGAACUUUGUAAAGGUGAUGAAAUCCUACUAACCAUCAAAACUAUUAAGCUCUCUGAUGCAGGAACUCACACCCUCGGACUACAAAGGACGAGGACAGACAUGAUGGGUGUGUUUUCUAUCAAGGUACUGCCAAGACCAGAGGUAACCGGACACACUCCUCUACCACCACUGUGUUAAAAAAUACCAUUCAGGUAAUUAAUGUUAGAGACUAUUCGGCUAUUGAUUAAUUAGAAACUGAGACUGGUUUUGAUAGUAGGGACAAUUUGUGGCUGUCUUAUAUGAGGUACACAGCUAAAACCCUGAGAGGAAAGGACUGUAUUAUUUGAAGUUAUGCUAGACCUGUUCUGGCUACACCCAUUUGCUGUAGGAGAAGGAGAGGGGUGGUUGUGUAUUUUGAGAAGUUUUUACCAGGUUAAGCCCAAUUCAACCCUCUGUUCCUCUUUGAGCCUUGUGUUUCCUGCAGUACCUCCUCAUCGGGCCUCUUGGGGUGUUGAGGCAUAUGGGGGCAAUUACGAGUGCAUCACGGGUACAGGUAAUGGCAUUGAUUAUGGGAGAUUGCCUGAAGCUGAUUGCAGGAGUAACAUAACCAUUAAUUCCACUUGGCCAGUUACAGGCCUAAACCAAACUAGUGGUCUGGCUGAUGUAUGGUGGAUGAGUGAAGCCAAAAGAGGGCUGAGACCCAUUCUUAGAGGAGAAUGGCAAGGUACGUGUGGUCUGACCAGUUUGAUAAUUCCACGGACCAUUGUUGAUGUUGUUGCUGAACAGCUGCUGAGUUCUGUAACCAGGGGACCUGAAAACAUUCCAUCCCAUGGGAGACAAAUGUAGUAGUGUUCCAUGGACAGAGGAUGUAGUUGACAUACACACUAACCUGUUGGGAGUGCCAGUGGGGAUUCCUCAUGAGUUUCAGGCCUUGGGUAGGAAUGAUGGACUCUGGCACUUACUACCUACUAUGGGUCCAGCCAUGGUGGAUGCUGGACAGACUGCAUGGAUUAAUUAUAUCUACUAUGACCAACAGCGUUUUGUGAAUUACUCCCGUGAUGCACUCACUAGUAUGUCUGAACAGCUUGAGGCCACAUUUGGGGUUUCCAGACAGAAUAGACUUGCCUUGGAUGUGCUUCUUGCCAGUCAGGGGGACGUCUGCAAGAUGUUCGGUAAACAAUGUUGCACGUAUAUUCCUAAUACCAGUCCAGAUGAUAGUUUUUAAACUUCACAAUCUAAGGCGGGGUUGAUGCACUAUCUGCUAAGAUGAGGUCCACGGGGGGGUGGAGGAGUCUGUUCUCUUGGCCUGGUUUGGUAAGUGCACUGGUAGGAUGGUUACUGGAUUUCUGACCCUAAUUCUUGUAUUAUUUGUUAUUGAUGUGAUGUGCUGCUUGCAUCAUACUGUGUUUUGACAAGUCUGUUACAGAUGUGGUGAGGGCUUCAGGCAUGAUGCCUUUGCUUGAUGCUCCAGUUGGCGAUGCCGAUACGGAAGCAUGCUUUCAGGGGAGGAUGGGACUGACUGAUGAUGACACAUGGUUUGGAGUCCCUGGGUGGCAAGGAGCCCACUUGGUACAGGAUAGAAGUAGCUGAGAGGACCAGAUGGUUUCUAAUAAUUCUUUACUCUGUUUUCCAUGACCAAAGUUUUAUCCUACAUCUUACAUGUCAAUAACAAUAAAGUUUUAUCCUGUUUUUGAUAAGUGACACCCUUGGGGGGAACAAAGGCAUAUAUAACUUGUUAUUAGUAAUAAACUUUUUAUUAUUUUCAUGAAAUGCUAUGACUGCUGAAAUAAAGGAUAAAUGAGUGACACCCUAGCAGGAGUAAGGAGGGGGAUCCAGUUGCUUAUAUUGAUUAAGCUUCUCCAUUGUAUGUCGUGUCGCAUCUGGGAUGGGAAGAGGGGGAAAUUAUUUUUCUUUGUGGGCCAUUUCCGGAUAGACAUACCUAGUUUAGGAUAUUUUUCCUUUUUGGAUUAUGUCUUCGUUUUUGCUUGGAGUAAUGUAUCUGGACUAUAUCACAUCUCUUAGGAGAUGUGAAGAGAGGGUAUCAGAAACUUUUUCCUGCUGGAAAAAGCUGGCUAAUGUGGACAAUAAUUUUUACUUUUAUUUUGAGCUGUUCUCCGCUCUGUUAAAUGAGGGUUGUAAGCCAACUUAGUACAUAGUGGGAUAGAAUGGAGAACAUGAUGGGAAUACAUAUAUAUCUAUUUCUGUUUAGUACCGUGCCUUAUUUCAUAGUCCCUUAGGGAGAAGUUUUUUUUUUUUUUUUUUUGUGUUGUGUCUGGAUCUAGUUAGGUGGUGUCACGUCUCUGAGGAGACGUGAAGAGAGGGAUUUGUUAGGAAGUGCUAUUUCUUAUGUAAGUGACCAGCAUACUGCUAUUGCAUUGUUAUAACUGAGACAACACAUAGCAACAUAUACUCACAGUAAAGCCUGUGGGGUCCCCCACAGGAUAGCUCCCACAUUACACACAUAAUCUCCUUUUAUUUUUAACCGAACACUGUGCCCGAAGAAGAUCCUACGAUGACGGACAGACAACUGAGCCAAUGGCGGAAGACUACAGACUACAACCAGCUGAACCAAUCCGGAGAUCCGAUCUUCCUAGGGUCAACCUACUUUCUGUGACGUAUAUAAGAGCUGUGCUGACUGUUUACGCUCUCUCUGCCUGCCGUUCCACACGAACUAACGGAAGAGCCGUAUUUACGUGUACCAGAUAUUCUCCCUCUGAAAUAAACUGUCGCUUGUCGUACAAUUUUAACACCUGGUCUGAAUCGAUCCUUAACCGGCUCACCCUUCUAAUAUCCUUUUAUCAACACAUUAAAAUAUUUCAUUUAGAACUAGCGUGCCAAAUGCGCACACAGUCAAAAUCCAGUCAUUGCCAGGUGGUCAAGUCUGGUGACAAUUUCAAAUUAAAACAAUAUAAAUGUAGUUACUCUUGCUGAGUAAGUCUUGUAGGAUAAGUCCAGUUUUUGUCGGAGAAAAGGAGGAUCACUGUUUUACGGUCUGUGAUAGACUAUAUAUGCAAAAGUAUGUGGACACCCCCUUCAAAUGAGUGGAUUUGACUUUUUUAGGCACACCUGUUGCUGACAGGUGUAUAAAAUCGAGCAAGCAGCCAUGCAAUCUCCAUAAACAAACAUUGGCAGUAGAGUGGCCUUACUGAAGAACUCAGUGACUUUCAACAUGGCACCUUCUUGGGAUGCCACCUUUCCAACAAGUCAGUUUAUCAAAUGUCUGCCCUGCUAGAGCUGCCCUGGUCAACUGUAGGGGCUGUUAUGUGAAGUGGAAAUGUAUAGGCGCAACAACGGCUCAGCAGUGAAGUGGUAGGCCACACAAGCUUACAGAAUGGGAUUGCUAAGUGCUGAAGCAUGUACCGUGUAAAAAUUGUCUGUCCUCGGUUGCAACCGAGGAAUCUGGGUUUGGCGGAUUCCAGGAGUAGGCUACCUGCCUCAAUGCAUAGUUCCAACUGUAAUGUUUGGUGGAGGAGGAAUAAUGGUCUGGGGCUGUUUUUCAUUCCAGUGAAGGGAAAUCUUAACACUACAGCAUACAAUGACGUUCUAGAAGAUGAUGUGCUUCCAACCUUGUGGCAACAGUUUGGGGAAGGCCCUUUCCUGUUUCAGCAUGCCCCCGUGCACAAAGCGAUGUCCAUACAGAAAUAGUUUGUUGAGAUCGGUGUGGAAAAACUUGACUGGCCUGCACAGAGCCCUGACCUCAACCCCAUCAAACACCUUUAGGAUAAUUGGAACGCCGACUGCGAGCCAGGCCUAAUCGCCCCGUAACACUUUUAGUGCCCGAUCUCACUAAUGCUCUUGUAGCUGAAUGGAAGCAAGUCCUCGCAGCAAUGUUCCAACAUCAAGUGGAAAGCCUUUCUCAGAAGAGUGGAGGCUGUUAUAGCAGCAAAGGGGGACCAACUCCAUAUUUAUGCCCAUGAUUUUGUAAUGAGAUGUUGGACGAGCAGGUGUCCACAUACUUUUGGUCACGCAGUGCAAGUCAUGUAUUAUAGUAACACUUUCAGUUGACUGUGACAUCAUCUUCUCACAGGAUGUCAUCUCCUCUCCUUAUGUUGACAUUGUCCCUCUCUGUUAGGAGAUUCACCUGAGAUUCAGUCAAGUCUCCGACUCUGGUCGCGUCUAGACCCCUGGGGAGGCUCCAUGGAGGAGUACCUGCUGGAGAGGGAGCAUAUUCUAGCAGUGGUUCUACCAGGAGGCCUGGAGAAAACGGCCCAGAUACAUGGGAGUAAACCUGUGAUGGACAUACUGGUCACACUCUGUGCCCUGAACCACCUGAAUCCAUCUGAGUUCACCAUAGAACUCCAGAAACCAAAUCUCCUUCAAUCCCACCUCUCUGAUUGGAGCCAUGGAGGCUCACAGGAUCAUACUGAAACCUAAAGGGGGAGAGGAGAAGAUAAGGAGGCUGUACGUGCCAGAGGUCACUGUACGUCUGCUGAUCAACUACAAGAAGAACCAUAAGGUCGUUGUGAGGGUCAGCCCUAGAGUCCCUCUGGAGCGGCUCCUGCCUGCGGUGUGUGUGAAGUGUUUUUAAUGAGAGCCAAUGGCUCUGAAGAACCUUUAAACCUGAGCAGGUCCCUCGGUGGCUAAGGGAACUGUACGCCAAGGACAUGGCAGCUGCCCCCCCCCCCCAAGUAAAGGGAAGAAACAGAAGGAGAAAGAGAACAGAGGAAUGUUUUGCUUAUUCAGGAGAAUUAAGUAGAAACCAGAAAAGGGUCUCUCAGUGAGUGUCCCUUUCUCGCGUGGUCUGAAAAACCAGCGGGUAGCCAGCAUCAGCAUGAACUCCCUGGGUAUCCACUCCUCCAACACCCUGCCCAUGGACAACACCAUGGCCAUGAAAAGACGGGCACCCAUGCCCCCCAUGGCAGGCUCCCAAAGCGCCCCUGCUAACCUCAACGUCCAGCCGGGAAUGGACAGUCACUUCACACACUGAAGGAGGAGAUGGGAGAGUGUGAGGGGGACCUGGACUCCCCAUCCUCAUCCCCAAACAUCUCCAGGCCUUUGAGUCAGCCUCGAGUGUCCCCCACUCCCCCUUCUACCCUCUCCACUACCUCUAGCACCUUUCCACCCUCCAAUCCCUACCAUCCCUCUCCUCGCUGCCCUCCCUCCCCUGCCACCCUAGGGGAGAUACUAACCCCUUUCCUGCUUUGUCAAACCCGGGCCAACCUCAAGCAUCCUUCGUUCCCAACCCCAAGACCCGUCAACUCCACCAAUGGAGGCUCACCUGGGUCCUUGACACAGUCGGGUGGAAGUAAGGGACUCAGUCCCCUCUCUUUACUCAAACUCAAGACCAAGGACCCUGGUGAAGCUUGGAGGAGUCCCAGUCUGAGGGAGGGGAUGACCACAUUUACCUUGGUGCCCCUAGGGCCGUCCCUGAAGGAGCAGAGAGGCUUGGAGGUGGACCUGACCCUGGCGAAAGACCCAGGCCUUAGACCCAGCACAAACCAUUGAUGAACCUGGGUUGGAGCACCACCAGACAAGGAAGAAGACACUGGUAUCACUGGAGAGGUCAGAGGUUGAGGGAUCCACCCCAGAGCCUGAUAUGGAUUCUAAACUUUCUCCUCCAGGGUUUCCAGAAGGUUCUACUGACUGGGUCUUCAGUCCUCCAACCGUGUCUAGUCCUAUCGAGCUUUAACAGACCGCACCAAAUUCACCAGUGGUAGUCAAGCAGGAGAAUUCCGAGAUGGAGGCCCAGGAGGAGUCCGAAUCACCCACAGACAGUCUAGAUUCAGAACUACAGAAAAGUUUAGAGGUAGAAGUCCCAGAGGAGUCGGAUACACUCUCAGAGAUACCCAACCCAUACACAGCUUUGGCCCACACCAAUGGAAUACCUGGAGAUGAGGUGACCUCAACUCCUGAACUACUGGAGAGCAGGGGAUUGUUCUGGAAGCCCAGUCUGGUGAUAGAGGAGGCAGAAGUGGACCGUUUCUGUUUCCCUCCUCCCCCUCCCCCUGUGUGCUAUGAUAAGGAGGUGGAGGAGACGGAGCCGGCCCAGUUACGAGUGAGGCCUCCUGGGGGAACAAAUCACUACCCUUCCUCUUAUCGUCCCCCUUCUCUUCAUACGAUGAGUCAUACCUUCUGUGAAUCAGCAGAGGGAGACAAUCAGACUGAUGCCUCUUCUUCACCCAAACCGAACAUGAUUCAUUUGACUUCACCCAAACCAUACGUGCCUGCAGCCCUGGCCAGGAAAACUGCCAUUCCCUCCUGCUUUACCCAGGCUGUGGCUCUAGCCGCCCGUAAGUCCUAGUCCUCCUGUCCUCGAAGGCCAGCACCAGACUUGCUUCCCUCCCUUUCCGGCUCCUCGCCCUCCACUGCUUUACUGCUAACCAAUGCGGUGAGUGAUGAUUUUGACCUGCACUGACACAGUAAUGACAUGCACAUUUUGCCAUUGUAGCAACAGGAUUGGACCCAAAACUGAACCAAUGUUUACCCCUAUCAUACUACAAUGUGCUUCCUUCUAUACAUAAAGUUGCCAUUCUUAACUUUCAUGAUCUCUCUGUGAACCUCACAUGUUCCACAGGGGAACUCUUUACACCAGUGGAGGCUGGUGGGAGGAGCCAUGGGAGGACGGGCUCAUUGGAAUGGCUGGAAUGGAAUAAAUGGAACGGAGUGAAACAGGGUUUCUAUGUGUUGGAUACCCUUCCAUUCCAGACAUUCCAAUGAGCCUGCCCUCAUACAGCUCACCCCACCAGCCUCCACUGCAUUACACAGGAAAGAAGGGAAGGGCAUAUCUUUAUGGAAGUGUGUACAUUUUACAGUGUGAUUAUUAUUUUUUCUCUCUGGAAAGACGCCAUUUGUUACAUUAAAUGGCGACAUAUGCCUUUCUAAACAAUCCUGGCAGGCUGGUAUUCUUCUGAGACACCUUCGUAUUUGUCUGUUAUCUUCAUGUGUAUGUGCCAAAGGUGGUAUAUGGCCCUGUAGAUUACGUCUAUGGACAUGCUCACACUCUGUGUGACCUGGUGGAGGAAGGACCUAAUCUAAACUGGUGAUAUUCGUCUCUUGUCCUAAUGGCUUCAUAGUAAAUCUGUGAAAUGGAAGUUUCUGUUUAGGGUGAGGCAACUGCAGUGAAGUAGAGCCAGCCACCACAUAGUCACAUGACCUCCAAACGGACCCCACUUAGAGGUCGACUGACAAAUU